rnacentral:rRNA from 1 species
CUAGCCGUAAACGAUGGAUACUAGGCGUUGUGAGUAUCGACCCUCACAGUGUCGUAGCUAACGCGUUAAGUAUCCCGCCUGGGGAGUACGCGCGCAAGCGUGAAACUCAAAGGAAUUGACGGGGGCCCGCGCAAGCGGUGGAGUAUGUGGUUUAAUUCGAUGCAACGCGAAGAACCUUACCAGGACUUGACAUGUCGCGAAUCUCAGGGAAACUUGAGAGUGCCUUCGGGAGCGCGAACACAGGUGGUGC